UCCCUAGUGGCUCAGUGGUAGAGAACCUGCCUGCAAUGCAGGAGACCUGGGUUCAAUCCCUGGGUUGGGAA
rnacentral:tRNA from 1 species